rnacentral:rRNA from 1 species
UGCGUAGACGGUUAUGUAAGUCGGGUGUGAGAGCCCCGGGCUCAACCUGGGAAUUGCAUUCGAGACUGCAUAGCUAGGGUGCGGAAGAGGGAAGCGGAAUUUCCGGUGUAGCGGUGAAAUGCGUAGAUAUCGGAAGGAACACCAGUGGCGAAAGCGGCUUCCUGGUCCAGCACCGACGUUCAGGCACGAAAGCGUGGGGAGCAAACAGGAUUAGAUACCCUGGUAGUCCACGCCAUAAACGAUGAGAACUAGACGUUGAGAGGGUAAGCCUCGCAGUGUCGUAGCUAACGCGCUAAGUUCUCCGCCUGGGGAGUACGGCCGCAAGGUUGAA